rnacentral:pre_miRNA from 1 species
AAUUUAUACAAGGCAUGACUGUAAUAUAAUGAAUCUGAUUUUUCUGUGUGACUUGUGGAAUCAAACCUAUUUCUGUAUAAUCACAUCUUGUAUAUUA